rnacentral:rRNA from 1 species
UGGGGAAUUUUGGACAAUGGGGGAAACCCUGAUCCAGCCAUCCCGCGUGUUCGAUGAAGGCCUUCGGGUUGUAAAGCACUUUUGGCAGGAAAGAAACGUCAUGGGUUAAUACCCCGUGAAACUGACGGUACCUGCAGAAUAAGCACCGGCUAACUACGUGCCAGCAGCCGCGGUAAUACGUAGGGUGCAAGCGUUAAUCGGAAUUACUGGGCGUAAAGCGUGCGCAGGCGGUUCGGAAAGAAAGAUGUGAAAUCCCAGAGCUCAACUUUGGAACUGCAUUUUUAACUACCGGGCUAGAGUGUGUCAGAGGGAGGUGGAAUUCCGCGUGUAGCAGUGAAAUGCGUAGAUAUGCGGAGGAACACCGAUGGCGAAGGCAGCCUCCUGGGAUAACGCUGACGCUCAUGCACGAAAGCGUGGGGAGCAAACAGG